CUCGCAUGGUGGAACUAUUAAAGAAUUUCGGUCAUCGAUGGGGAUGCGUUCCAUUAGGUUGUUGGCGGGGUAACGGCCCACCAAGCCUUCGAUGGAUAGGGGUUCUGAGAGGAAGGUCCCCCACAUUGGAACUGAGACACGGUCCAAACUCCUACGGGAGGCAGCAUG
rnacentral:rRNA from 1 species